UUAAAUUGAAGAGUUUGAUCAUGGCUCAGAUUGAACGCUGGCGGCAGGCCUAACACAUGCAAGUCGAACGGUAACAGGAAGCAGCUUGCUGCUUCGCUGAYGAGUGGCGGACGGGUGAGUAAUGUCUGGGAAACUGCCUGAUGGAGGGG
rnacentral:rRNA from 1 species